GAGAUCUAUCUAGGUUUUUAAUCCUAGCCGUUGAGAUCUAUAUAGGAUGUCGAGAACAAAAGAAAAUGAAGAAGCAUUCUUCAGUUCUUUCUUCUUCGUCUCUUCUUCUCACUCAGCGGCAGCAUCAGUUUCUCGAUUCUCUUAGGGUUUGAAUCGAGAUUGAAUAUCAGUAAUAUCAGUGGAUCACCAUCUCUAUCAGGAUUCAGAUAUUGAGAAGAUUAGUCCAAAGGCCAAAGCAGAGAAGAAGGAAGAAUUAGAUUUUUGGGGUUCUCAAGUACUGCACAAUGGCUUGUGGCUGAACCGCUGAACGCUUAAGGAUCGUGAUUUGUUUCAGGGCAGCAGGUGUUACAAAAUACCCAUUAAAGACUUAAAGUACUUCAGAAUGACCACAUCAACUGCAACUCCAACUACAAAUGCAACUGCAACUCCAACUACAAGUACAACUCAACAAACAGAAGUUGGAUCAUCCUCUCAAGCUGCAUCUCACACAAAUGAAUCUGAAACUGCAACUCCAACAAGUAAAGGCAGAGCUGAAGCAGUUGAAGUUGGUGAUAGCAAAAAGAAGCACGGCAGAGUGAGAUCAUCUGUUU